rnacentral:tRNA from 1 species
GCCCGGGUGGUGGAAUCGGUAGACACUAGGGACUUAAAAUCCCUUGGAGGCAAACUCCGUGCGAGUUCGAGUCUCGCCCCGGGCA